ACACCUUCUCGCCAGCUUCAACACUGACAGCUCCUGCGUGGGCGUCACUGAGCGAUAACAACCUAUAAUUAUCUUUGGUGACCAUUUGGGGGAAGAAGAGGGGAUGCCCAACAGGCAAAGAAACCUCAGAUGAACAAUCCGACUGACACAGACCUCAGUGGGAUGCAGGGACACAACUCCCCGGUCUACAGUGCUGGGCCGCGACCCACCAUGACUGAGAAUUUGCUAGCAAAACGGCCCCAUCUGUCUUCCCCCUGACCUCCUGCACCGGCGAAGUCACCACCUCCCAGGUCACCUUCGGCUGCCUGGCCAAAGGCUACUUCCCCGAGCCGGUCACCGUGACAUGGAGCCCCAACGUCGGCUCCUCGGACGUGAGGACCUAUCCCUCCAUGCUGCAACCUUCCAGUGGCCUCUACUCGCUCAGCAGCCAGGUCACCGUCCCGGCCAGCAGCUGGGAGUCUAACACCUAUCGAUGCACCGUAGAGCACCAGCCCACCAGCUCCAGCAUCUCCAAGGAAAUCCCAAGUAGGGACAGCACGGUGCAGCCCGAGCACCAGCCCACCAGCUCCAGCAUCUCCAAGGAAAUCCCAAAGCCCAUCCCCGCUGAACCCCAAGCCCCCGAGGUGCACGUCCUCCACUCCUCCUGCACCACCAAGCCAGGUGCCAUCCAGUUGCUCUGCUUCAUCUCCGGCUUCUACCCUGAGCCUUUGAAGGUGGAAUGGCUGGUGGACGGCGAGCCCGGGUUACUUCAUGGGGACACCGCCCCUGCCAAGAAGGACGCCGACGGCCGCACCUUCAGCACCCGCAGCAAUGCCAGCAUCUCCCAGGACGUGUGGCUGGAGGGCAAGACGUACACCUGCCAGGUGUCCCACCCGGGCACUGCCACCACAAAGCAGGACCAUGCCCGCAAGUGCAGAGAAGAAACAACGUCUCCCAGUGACAUCCAAGUCUUCCUGGUGCCCCCGUCUCCUGCCGCCCUGUACGUGGCCCAGAACCCCAUGCUCACCUGCCUGGUGGUCAACCUGCCUAGCGACUCCGGCCUCCAGGUGGUCUGGUCCAGGGAGAAGCCAGGGUCCAUUGUCCCUGAACCCCUGACCCUCGCUGAGCAGUACAACACCACCUUCACCGCCUCCAGCUCCAUGCCCAUCUUCACCCGCGACUGGGAGGCUGGAGAGACCUUCACCUGCAAAGUGGAGCACUCAGAUCUGCCCUCUUCCCUCAUCAAAUCGAUCUCCAAGAAGCCAGGCAGGCGCUCUGGCCCUGGCAUCUACCUCCUGCGACCUCACAACGAGGAGCUGAGCAGCUCUGAAGACUCUGUCAGCGUCACCUGCCUGGUGCUGGGCUUCUUCCCCGAGGACAUCUCGGUGCAGUGGAUGAAGAACCACAAACCCGAUGAGACCUUGGAAUAUAUCACCACCCAGCCCAUCAAGGACGGAACCGGCGACUCAAACUUCUUCCUCUACAGCAAGCUGAAAGUCAGCAAGGCCAGCUGGAACAGCGGGGACACCUACACCUGCAUGGUCAUCCACGAAGCCCUCUCCAUGAAGUUCACCCAACGCAGCGUCAGCAAAGACUCCGAGGUGAUCGUGUCAGGUGAGUUUUGCAGUGAGGACGGCGACGAGGACUUAGAUGGCCUCUGGGCCACCAUCUCGGUCUUCAUCACCCUCUUCCUCUUGAGUGUGUGCUACAGCGCCACCGUGACCCUGUUCAAGGUGAAGUGGCUUUUCUCCACCGUGGUGCAGCUGAAGCGCACGAGGGGGCCUGACUACAAGAACGUGAUCCAGCGCGUGGUGUAGGAGCUGCUGCCCUCAUCCGCCCAGAGACAAGGGGCCGGGACUCCCGGCUCCAUUGGCGACACCGCCCUGAGUCCAACAGCUGCCCCCCACCAGCGCUGUGCCCUUGGGAGAGCCCCUGAGGGGAGCAAGGAGCUCACCUCACACGGCCUAAUCAGCUCAGAGCUGGACUAAGGCUGGACCACUCAUAUCAUGCAGGGAACCAGCGCCCCUAGCGAGGAAACAACCCCUCUCCCACUUCCCACCCUCCUGAGCCCAACAGUCCCUGCUCUGGGUUGGGUCAGAACCAGCGCACCCUAGAGAGAAAGGCCCCAUGUCCCAUUCCCCCACCCUGGGGCUAGAUUGGAGCUGGUGCCCCCUAGUGUGUAAGGGCCCUGUGCCCCAUUCGCUGUCCCCCUGAGCCAGCCAGCCAGCCCCCCACUGGGGCCAGAUCACAAAUGGCUUUGUCUCUGUUGCUCUGAAUGUUGCAUAUUUAGCUCCCGGCUGUUUUUUGUGACUUUUGUGGUUUGCACUGAGUGACUGUAAAUAAAUAAAUAUUCAAUGCGG